AACGUAGGACACAAGCGUUAUCCGGAGUUACUGGGCGUAAAGGGCGUGUAGGCGGAGAUGUAAGUCUAUUCUGAAAGCUCCUGGCUAAACUGGGAGAGGCGAAUGGAGACUGCAUAUCUAGAGUGAGGAAGAGGAAAGUGGAAUUCCGCGUGUAGUGGUGAAAUGCGUAGAGAUGCGGAGGAACACCAGUGGCGAAAGCGACUUUCUGGUCCUUAACUGACGCUGAGGCGCGAAAAGCAUGAGGAGCGAACGGG
rnacentral:rRNA from 1 species